CGCUAGGGGCCUAGGGUUAGCGCAGCCACGCCACCGGGCUCCGCCGAAGUCGCCUGCCUCCUCGCCGCUGGCUUCAGCCUUCUCCAUCCUCAGCUGAUGCCGCCCGCCUCUUCUCCGGCUCCGUCCUCUAUUGAUGCCGCUCGCAUCCUCUCCGGCUCCGUCCUCCGCUGAUGCCACCGACCUCCUCUCCGGCUCUGUCCUUCUCUGACCAUUCUCCCUCACUGUGUAGAUGCUGGGGAUGGUGUGCCGUGAGAUCAGGAGAGGGCACGCCGUCCACGUCGACGAUCUCGCCCUCAAGCUGGCCAGCGACGUCAUCGGGCAGGCGGACUUCAGCCUCGAAUUCUCCCUCUCAGCGCCAUCGUGCAGUUAUGAUUCAUGUGUUCUUUUCGUCUUCCCCAUGCCGUUUUCAUGGUUGUUGGUCGGGAUAUGCCCUUUCCUUUAAUUCUGGUUGAUUGCGUUGGUUUUCUGGUCUACCAAUUCCUCUUUACUUCCAAUAAUUUGUUAUGGGUGUCCAAUUUCUCUAGAAAGUGAAGAUUUAGUGGAGCAGAUUUGCAAUGGCACUUUCAAUUAGAUAAGAUGGUUGCUGUCUUCGGGGGACUAUGACGGACUCCUCUUGACAAUCAUGUGGUCCACAGGGUCAUCAACACAGUACUAUGCAUUACAAUAGAGCGGAGUGGAGGGGUUUUGUCCACUAUGGCAGCUCGGCUGGUUCCUGCCCGUGGAACUGAUGUGCUUUUUCGGUGCCUUUGUUGUGCUCUAGGCCGCUGUCAGCUUCGAUGCGGCCGAUGCGACGCCCGUGGUCAUGGUUGGCUCCAUCAAGUGCUUGGAUUGCUCCCCCGACGACGCCAAUGCUGAGGAUGCCUUCAAAGGCACCAGAAACCGGAAUGCAAGAAGAGACAUGAAAUUUGAUGGCUUGCAUCGACGGGAGACCAUUGCUGCACUACAUGUACUCUCAUUGGAUUAUACUUCUGCCUGUCUUCUGCAUUGAAUGUUUGCUAAUUUCAUCUAUGCGGAUGUACUGAGCUUUGAGUUAUUGGGUUUGAUCUCCUUAUUAUCUUCUUGGAGUUUUUUUAGCUUUUGUCCAUAUGAAAUAAAAUGCUUUAGUCUUGCGUCAGCCAUCUACUUGCUUAAAUUAGAAAAAAUAGGAGUGCAGUCUAAAUGCUAAGAAAAUGCAUGUUAUGCUAUCAAGGAUUCCGUCUUCUACAAUUGCGUAAUUUUAGAUUCCGUCGUCUACAGAAAAUCUUUACAAUAGUCUGAUAGAAAAGACUAACACAAUUUGUUUUCACAUGAGCAUGGUGUAAUGAACCAACCAAACCAUUGGUACUUGCAUAGAAAGUUAUCUCAUGUUCCACACGCUUAAACUCUCUUCACCUUGGUGACCUUCAGGCUGAGUGGUCAAUCAACAACUCUUUAAUUCCAUUGAUUAAUUAAACCACAAAGUUCAGAUCUAUCUCUUCCUUUGGCAUUCACAGCCUGUACAACGACUGCAAAAUCACUCUCAAAAUUAACUAGGCCAUGACACUAGAAGCAGCAAGGUCGACGGCUUAUUUCAGAGCACAAAGUUCAGCUUUAAGAGCACGAAGUUCAGCUUUCAGAGCACUCACAGUGAGAUCAAGAUAUAGAUAUUGUCAUCUCUUCUCGGCUUUUUCUUUCUUUCUCAUAUUAAUUCCUCCAAAUGGUCACUAGAUAUUGUCUUUUUUAUUUAUUUAUGUUGUUUGAUGAAAUAAGAUGCUAAAAUAUUUGUCCUGAACUUCAUAUGUGGAAAUAAAGCACUUGGCCCAUAGCAAGGUGUAAUGUUGUUUGGACCACCGUUAAUUUGUUACUGUUCUCACCAAAAUGUCAUGUUUUGUAGUUUCUUUGGAGGAGUCCUGUUUUAAUUUGAUACUGAUGCACUUCUUAAUAUGACCAGAAUGUCAUGUUCUGUAGCUUCUUCAGAGGAGUCCUGUUUUUUUUUUCAUUCCCCUUAGAUAUUGAUGCAAUUUUUAUUUGUGAUUGUUAAACAACUGAAAAUUCUUGACUUAUUGUCCAUUUGUUCUCUUACAGUUGCAAAUAACUUAAAAAGAGAGUUGCCUUCAACCUUUUGCAGGCUCACAAAUAUGGCAGAUUAUAUUCAUUCAUGUUUUUUUGUGAGAAUUUUUUUCAUUCAUGUUUGAUUAGCAAAUUUCUUGCUUCAGUGGCAUGUCAUGAAGAACUAGAUAAUGUACUCUUAUCAUUGAUUGAUUAUUAUUGCUAUAUUAUAUAUGUGUCUUCUGAAUUACAUAGAGGUGAAAGAGAGAAUGCAUAAUGAUUGAUGCUCCUUUCCUUUGUAUCGAUAUUUCCUAUAUGUACUAUCAUCUUUCACUGCGGGUAUGCUAUUCUGAGUGCCAUUAGGAGUAACAAAGAUUAUUAUAGUAUUAGAGCAGUCAGGAGGAUUGUGACACUUACGCUCAUUCAAAGUUUAAGUGUGGUAAAAAAAUGUUGUAAUUUCUUCUAUUUUUCGGUAGGAUAUUUCACAUCAACAUGGAUAAUAACAACAGUUGUUCAUCUAACUUUCUCGAAUAAAUUUAUGCUUGGAGCAGGUAGGAGGCGAUGCAUCUGAAGUCGUGUGUGUACAUCGUGUCUUGGUGUGAUGGAGGAGGCGUUGGUGCUCUGCAGAUUUUGUUUCAGGCUGUAGGUUUCAGUAUGCAUACUGCCACUUGAGAAGAACUGCUUCCGAGUGUAGUCAGAAGAUUAGGAUUGAAAGUGCUGGGUCUGCCACUAUAUCAUUUUGGUGGCUUUUCUUUGAAGAUCAAUCAGGUGAACUAGGAGCCCCUCCGGAUUUCGUAAAAGGGUUACCCUUCGUAAAAUGGCUGGUGACAGAACAGGCAGCGUAUUACUUACCUCUAUAUGAUUGUAACAAAUGAUUUGAUAUACCAUCUGGGAUGUGAGCUCCCUUUCUUCGCCUUGGAAUCACUAAACGGGACGAUGACUGCCGCCGUGCCAGCCUUCUUAGUUGUAAUCAAAGAAGAUAAUUAUUUCUCACAAAGCACAAAGUGUAUAAGGUUUCACUACCAAUGGUGUUGUUCCAUGUGGUCUACAGCUCUGCAAUGUGAAUGAUGGGUAUCAUAUUUAUAUUUUACACACUGGCGAGUCCCUUUUCUGUAUAAGCCAAA